rnacentral:rRNA from 1 species
AGUGAACGCUGGCGGUAGGCCUAACACAUGCAAGUCGAACGGCAGCACAGGAGAGCUUGCUCUCUGGGUGGCGAGUGGCGGACGGGUGAGGAAUACAUCGGAAUCUACUCUGUCGUGGGGGAUAACGUAGGGAAACUUACGCUAAUACCGCAUACGACCUACGGGUGAAAGCAGGGGACCUUCGGGCCUUGCGCGAUUGAAUGAGCCGAUGUCGGAUUAGCUAGUUGGCGGGGUAAAGGCCCUCCAAGGCGACGAUCCGUAGCUGGUCUGAGAGGAUGAUCAGCCACACUGGAACUGAGACACGGUCCAGACUCCUACGGGAGGCAGCAGUGGGGAAUAUUGGACAGUGGGCGCAAGCCUGAUCCAGCCAUACCGCGUGGGUGAAGAAGGCCUUCGGGUUGUAAAGCCCUUUUGUUGGGAAAGAAAUCCAGCUGGCUAAUACCCGGUUGGGAUGACGGUACCCAAAGAAUAAGCACCGGCUAACUUCGUGCCAGCAGCCGCGGUAA